AAGACCCCAUGGAGCUUUAAACCCGACUACACCUCCACCUCUUAUACCCACAUAAUCAACGGAGUACUGUACAUCGGUUUUGGGUUGGGGUGACCACGGAGCACAAACUAACCUCCAUGAUGAAUAAGACUAACCCUUUAUCUAAGAGACACACCUCUAAGAAUUAGCACACUAACAUAAAAUGAUCCGAUAUUCGAUCAACGAACCAAGUUACCCUGGGGAUAACAGCGCAAUCCACUUCAAGAGCCCCUAUCCACAAGUGGGUUUACGACCUCGAUGUUGGAUCAGGGUAUCCUAGUGGUGCAGCAGCUACUAAAGGUUCGUUUGUUCAACGAUUAAAACCCU
rnacentral:rRNA from 1 species